GACGAACGCUGGCGGCGUGCUUAACACAUGCAAGUCGAGCGGUAAGGCCCUUUCGGGGGUACACGAGCGGCGAACGGGUGAGUAACACGUGGGUGACCUGCCUUCAGCUCUGGGAUAAGCCUGGGAAACCGGGUCUAAUACUGGAUAUGACUCCAUGACGCAUGUUGUGGGGUGGAAAGCCUUGUGCGGCUGAGGAUGGGCCCGCGGCCUAUCAGCUUGUUGGUGGGGUGAGGCCUACCAAGGCGACGACGGGUAGCCGGCCUGAGAGGACGACCGGCCACACUGGGACUGAGACACGGCCCAGACUCCUACGGGAGGCAGCAGUGGGGAAUCUUGCGCAAUGGGCGAAAGCCUGACGCAGCAACGCCGCGUGAGGGAUGACGGCCU
rnacentral:rRNA from 1 species